rnacentral:rRNA from 1 species
UACGGGGGGAGCAAGCGUUGUUCGGAUUUACUGGGCGUAAAGGGCGCGUAGGCGGCCACCGCAAGUCACUUGUGAAAUCUCCGGGCUUAACCCGGAAAGGUCAACUGAUCCUGCGGGGCUAGAGUGCAGAAGGGGCAACUGGAAUUCUCGGUGUAGCGGUGAAAUGCGUAGAUAUCGAGAGGAACACCUGCGGCGAAGGCGGGUUGCUGGGCUGACACUGACGCUGAGGCGCGAAAGCCAGGGGAGCGAACGGG